GAUGAACGCUGGCGGCGUGCCUAAUACAUGCAAGUCGAGCGAACGGACGAGAAGCUUGUUGCUUUGACGUUAGCGGCGGACGGGAGUGUAACACGUGUAUCAUGUACCUAUAAUACUGGGAUAACUACGGGACACCGGAUCUUACACCGGAUAAUCUUUUGCACCGCGUUGUUCGAUAGUGAAAGUCGGCGUUGCGGGCUCUUCUCGCUGGAUCUGGGCUGCAUUAUCUGGUUGGUAGGGUCACGGCCUAUCAAGGCAACGAUGCAUAGCCGACCUGAGAGGGGGGUCGGCCACACUGGAACUGAGCCACGGUCCAGACGCCUACGGGAGGCAGCAGUAGGGAAUGUGCCGCAGUAGGCGGGAGUCUGACGGAGCGACGCCGCGUGAGUGAUGGAGGUCUUGGGAGCGUGAUGCUCUGUUAUGAGGGGAGAACAGAUGUCUAAGGAGCUGUACAGAGCGUGACGGUACCGAAUCAGAAAGCAACGGCUAACUACGUG
rnacentral:rRNA from 1 species